rnacentral:rRNA from 1 species
AGUGAACGCUGGCGGUAGGCCUAACACAUGCAAGUCGAACGGCAGCACAGUAAGAGCUUGCUCUUACGGGUGGCGAGUGGCGGACGGGUGAGGAAUACAUCGGAAUCUACUUUUUCGUGGGGGAUAACGUAGGGAAACUUACGCUAAUACCGCAUACGACCUACGGGUGAAAGCAGGGGAUCUUCGGACCUUGCGCGAUUGAAUGAGCCGAUGUCGGAUUAGCUAGUUGGCGGGGUAAAGGCCCACCAAGGCGACGAUCCGUAUCUGGUCUGAGAGGAUGAUCAGACACACUGGAACUGAGACACGGUACAGACUCCUACGGGAGGCAGCAGUGGGGAAUAUUGGACAAUGGGCGCAAGCAUGAUCCAGCAAUACCGCGUGGGUGAAGAAGGCCUUCGGGUUGUAAAGCCCUUUUGUUGGGAAAGAAAAGCAGCAGGUUAAUACCACGCUGUUCUGACGGUACCCAAAGAAUAAGCACCGGCUAACUUCGUG